rnacentral:tRNA from 1 species
CGGGGCGUGGCUCAGCCCGGUAGAGCGUUCCGUUCGGGACGGAAAGGUCGCUGGUUCGAAUCCAGUCGCCCCGA